rnacentral:rRNA from 1 species
AAAUUGAAGAGUUUGAUCAUGGCUCAGAUUGAACGCUGGCGGCAGGCCUAACACAUGCAAGUCGAACGGUAACAGGAAGCAGCUUGCUGUUUCGCUGACGAGUGGCGGACGGGUGAGUAAUGUCUGGGAAACUGCCUGAUGGAGGGGGAUAACUACUGGAAACGGUAGCUAAUACCGCAUAACGUCGCAAGACCAAAGAGGGGGACCUUCGGGCCUCUUGCCAUCGGAUGUGCCCAGAUGGGAUUAGCUAGUAGGUGGGGUAACGGCUCACCUAGGCGACGAUCCCUAGCUGGUCUGAGAGGAUGACCAGCCACA